rnacentral:rRNA from 1 species
GACGAACGCUGGCGGCGUGCUUAACACAUGCAAGUCGAACGGGUCUGCCCUGUUUUUUGCGGGGUGGGUCAGUGGCGAACGGGUGAGUAACACGUGAGUAACCUGCCCCUCACUUCUGGAUAACCGCUUGAAAGGGUGGCUAAUACGGGGUGUUCUGGCUGUGCCGCAUGGUGUGGCUGGGAAAGAUUCACUUUUGUGGUGUUUUGGUGGGGGAUGGGCUCGCGGCCUAUCAGCUUGUUGGUGGGGUGAUGGCCUGCCAAGGCUUUGACGGGUAGCCGGCCUGAGAGGGUGGGCGGUCACACUGGGACUGAGAUACGGCCCAGACUCCUGCGGGAGGCAGCAGUGGGGGGUAUUGCACAAUGGGCGGAAGCCUGAUGCAGCGACGUCGCGUGAGGGAUGGAGGCCUUCGGGUUGUGAACCUCUUUCGCCGGUGAAGAAGGUCCUGCUCCUUGUGGUGGGGUUGACGGUAGCCGGGUUAUGAAGCGCCGGCUAACUACGUG